AACUAUGGCCAUGCCAUCCUGGACACGUCCGAUCCCGUUGAUCUCAGAAGCUAAGCAGAGUAGGGCCUGGUUAGUACUUGGAUGGGAGACCACCUAGGAAGACCGGGUGCUGUAGGCG
rnacentral:rRNA from 1 species